CUGAGUCGUGUAUUCGGGCCAAUAGUAAUCGUGCGGUGCCUUUGAGAACACGGUACGGUCUCUCGUUAGUCUCGUCUCUCGUGGUGCGUUUUCACACGUCACGUCGGAAGCGAGAAGGGCAAACGAAGAAAAGAAGGGAACAACAACGAAAGUUUUACGUCGUGUCGGGUUAAGAGAUAGAAACAGAUCGAAACGAAUUAGACGCCAGAAUUGUCGCGAGACAAUAGAAAAGUCCGUAACAAAGUUUCGGACAAAAUUCCUUGCGUCUCGUACUCGUCUGUCGCGUCUCUGUUUCCGUGCUAUCGUGUUCGAAAGUCGCAGAGAAGCUGCAACUCUUUUUCGGUACCAGGAUUCCGCAGCGGGAGCCGCGCAAGACGAGCAUCAUCAUCAACGCGGCUACACCAGCGGCCGAAGGGGCGGCACACGAGGGACGAGAGUGUCGGGUGAGGAAGUACGGCCAAGUAAAAGAGAGACGGAUCCACCUUUAACGGUGGACAGAGGGAUCAUCCUUGUGUCGAAGACGUCCGUACAGGUCGUCGAGGAUCGGGGUUUGUCAUCGUGGGCGAGUAACAGCGGAGGGAAAAGGGCUCGCCAUGCCGGCAGGUAUUGGCGCUUCGUACAGGUCGCUAGGCGACCUGGGCGAAGACGUGUACAAAAGCACGACGAUCGUCGACCAAACACAGACCACCGGACAAAGCGUCCUCGAGAGUGUGAAGAAGGCUUUCAGUUUCGCCUCGCCCAAGGUCGAGCUGAGGAAAAAGGACCCUCUGAUCGUGGACCGCCGUGAGAGCGUCUCGAUCGUCUCAAGGGAAAGAAACAGGAUGCCGACCGCCGCCACACCCGAGAAAUCAGCUCUUUUGGGCACGAUGCCCUCAGAUAGUAUGGAUGACAUCGAACUGAAAAAUAUUCAACUGCAAUUUCCACCGCUGAGAUGUCUAUCGAGAGAUGACAGUUCCGUGCGAGAGGAGAGGGUUGAAACCGACAAAGGAAGUAUUUUGGUGGCUGUGCAAGGGAAUCGAGCGAAACCUGCCAUUCUCACUUAUCACGACUUAGGCCUUAACUAUAUAUCGAGCUUCCAGGCGUUCUUCAAUUAUAUCGACAUGAGAGUUUUACUGGAGAAUUUCUGCGUUUAUCACGUGAAUGCACCUGGCCAAGAAGAAGGUGCACCCACGCUGCCUGAGGACUACAUCUAUCCGUCCAUGGACGAGCUGGCUGAACACCUGCUCUUCGUAUUGAGCCAUUUUGGGCUGAAAUCCGUAAUCGGUUUUGGAGUCGGUGCAGGGGCCAACAUACUAGCGAGAUUCGCACUCGCUCAUCCCGAGAAGGUCAAUGCUCUUUGCUUGAUAAAUUGCGUGUCGACACAAGCUGGCUGGAUCGAAUGGGGAUAUCAGAAACUGAACGUUCGCCACUUGAGAUCGCAGGGGAUGACUCAAGGUGUAUUGGAUUAUCUGAUGUGGCAUCACUUUGGCAGGGGCACGGAGGAAAGGAAUCACGAUCUUGUACAAGUGUACAAAAAUUAUUUCGAGCGUCGCGUGAAUCCGACGAACCUGGCAUUAUUAAUCGACAGCUACGUUCGCCGUACAGAUCUGAACAUCACGAGAGAAUUAGAUCCUACGCGUAAGAAGGAAGGCCUCACGCUUGGUGUACCUGUGAUGAAUAUCACAGGAGCUUUGAGCCCACAUGUCGACGAUACCGUCACGUUAAAUGGACGAUUAGAUCCGAUGAAUAGCUCUUGGAUGAAGAUUUCUGAUUGCGGAAUGGUACUGGAGGAGCAACCGGGCAAAGUAAGCGAGGCCUUUCGACUAUUUCUGCAGGGGGAAGGAUAUGUGGUGAGAUCCCCGCGGAAGCCCGUGACGCCGACAACACCCGAAGGUAAUUGUAAUUAGGAAUUGAAGGCCGCAAGGAGUCAAGCGCGCAGUUGGUCAGUUAGGCCACGUCUAUAUGUUAAUGGCACCAUUAUCACCGUUGAAAAUGGCUGACUACAGACUGGCUUCUCUCGAGGGAUUGAAUCACGUUUGCAGUAAGAAAAUCGACUGGCCCACCGCGACUAUACACAUCACCGAGAAUCCCAUAUCGGAGGCAGUCGUUUGUUAAAUUUUUCUUGGGAAAAAAAAAAAAAAAAAAUAUGCCAUUGAUUGUUUUCGAAUGACAAAGCAUGCAAGAACUUAAAGAGAAAAAAAAAAAAGAAAAAAAAAAAAAGAAGAAUAAGAAGAAGAUGGGAAAAGAAAAUCACGCGAAUCGAACAUCGAUAUUUUUUAAAAUUUUGUUGGAACAAGGACGUGGCUCUAACUUUUAAUUUUCGUUUAACAAACUAACUAACAUCGUAUUCGAAUUUUAGUUUUAAGAAUAUUCUUAUUUUAUCAUCGAUUUGUUUUAAGUUGCUCCUCCAUUUCUUUUAUUUAUAUUAACGUUAAGAUAACUAGAAUUAACAGUUUUUGGCUGGUACGAAUUAUCUUUUGUACCGCCCUGUGUACUGCACGUUUUUCUCAUUUUAUGUAUUAGUAAUAAUUCAAAUUAGUUGUUAGUCUUUAUUUUAAACGCAAUAAGAAUUUUAUCGUUUUAUUAUUCACGCAUUGAACCCGGUUAUCGUUCAUUAUAAUUCAGAAAUUAAACAUUAAUUCACUUUUAAAAAUCGAAAACGAUUAUUAAAAUCGAACGAUAUGACGAUUUUUACUGUUAUCUAUGGUAUCUUUGUUCAAUAGAACGAACGUAUUUUUUUAAAGUCUCAACGAACGUGUUACACUCGUCCUCGUCGACGGUCGUUUUUUUAAUAAUGAAAUCUCAAAUUAAAAAAAAAAGUGUGCGAUUACAUAAAGGCGCGACUGUAAUCCAAUAAUCCAUCGCAUUCAUCGCAAAUACUCGCAAAUACGAUUCUCGUACAACAUCAGAAACAACGAAAAAUCAUGAUUUUACUUAACUGUAACUUUUACAGAGGAGCAAGGUGAGAAAGAAUGAAACGAGAGGAAUAAAAUGCAAAAUUCAAAACGGAGAGAAGGUACUCGUCGAAGCGAUGCGUACGAAGUAAAUUUAUUCUCGAGUACGAUAACUAAUAGAUCGAUUAUUCCAAUGAUUCGAUCGACUAUUCUAAAGAUAAUUAUUAUUCGAAACAAUGCGCAAAAAAAAAAAGAAAAAAAAAAAAAGAAAAAGAAAAAGAAGAAAAAAAAAUCGAAUCAUAUUAAAGAUGAACAUGUGUGGUAGCACUGCAUCGUAGAGAAGCGCGCACUAUUGCUUUCCGUGUUCAUAAGGAGGGUACGAGUACGACUGGUAGGUGCAGAACACAAAGGAGUCAAGUUUGUAGAAAGAGGAUUACUCGUAUUAUUACGAUGGGAUUAAAUAACGAGCGCAUGAUAUGAUCUUUUUAUAAAUUUGAAUCCGUCCUCCCGCGCCUACUAAGUUUUCGUGAAUGAAUGAGUAAAAUCGUUGAGCCUCGUCGAUAUUAGCUUUGUAGCAUUCUUAUCGAAUUCGACGAGUUGACUAUAUUACUCGCGAUAAAUCAAUGCUCGAACAAUACGACAAGUUACACGGUUAUGAAUCCAAAUAUUUCGCUAACGUUAAUGUAUAGCGAGAGAGAGGGAGAGAAAGUUAUGAAAACAAAGGUAACAAAGGUAGGUAUCGAUAAAUUAGACAUUGAUCGAAGUGUCUUCGAUGAUGUCGGUUCGUUCGUUAUUCGUUACGGAUACUUUUUCGAAGUGCUGGAAUGUAAGAAAAAAAAGAAAAAAGAAAAGAAAAGAAAAGCCUAAAAAGCAAUCGGUCGCGACGAGCGACUGUUCGUGUUCUUUUAAAGGUAAAGAAAAAUUCUCGUAGGCCUGCACGUAUGACAUGUGCUUCGUGUUAAAAAAAAAAAAGAACAGGGAAUUUAUUCGGGGAUAUUCGCGCGUUUCAACAUCCUCGAACGAUUGAAUUCCAUGGAACAAUAACGUUUCCUUGGCCGGCAACUGAAACGUUCAUUUGUUUGCGCUCGCGCACCGUUCGCACCCUUUCCUAGUUUCAAGCGUUUAGAAAAUAAUUAGAAGGGAGGAUAUGUGUAUGUAUGCGAGUGUGCGUGUACGUGGAACGGAGAAAAAGGGAAACGAAUAUGUGCGUCUGAGUGAUUAUACACAUAGGAACGAGGAUACAUAGAUAGUCGUUCAAGGAAAAGAAAAAAAAAAAUUAAAAAAAAAAAGGAAUAAAGAAUUCAAAAAAUUAGAAAAAAAAAAAAAAGAAAAAGGAGUAUCUGGUUCGGUACCUUAAUACGGUUCUACCAGGCUUCUUAAAAGCCUCUAGCGUGAUAUGAUAAGACGUGCCUGCUACAUGAUGUCGUACGUAGCUUUUGAAAGUUUCAACGCCUUUAGUUUUUUAUCACACGAUUCCCGUACGUCCCGGAUUUUCCCCAAUUUUCGCGCGUCCUUUUUAGAACGAAGCGUGCAAUACGCUACAUUUAUGGUAAUAAUCGCCAUUGGAAAUUAAUACUACGUUUUGUAGCGGACGCUCGAAAUUUCUUACAUAUCCUCGAAAUUUCGAAAUACCGAAUCAAAUUUGUUCCCGAUCAUCCGACUAGUUUUGUUCGUAAUUUAUGGAAAAAAGGAUCUUUGAAAAAAAAAAAGAAAGAAUUCUCCAAAAAAUUAUUUGGAAACGGAUUAAAGAAAGAUGUAUAAAGAGUUAUAAAAAGUUUCUUUAAAAUUCUACGUUCUAGCAAAAUUUUCGUAGUACGGCAUUUACAACCAUCAAUGGCGUGUACUGUGCACGUCGGAGUGAUACGGUAUCGUUUCUCGAUCAACGAAGAGAAAUAACAAAAAAAGAAUGGUAUUUUAGCAUGAAACUCGAAUAAAGACGAAGGAGAUGCGCGAAAACACGACGAAAGUCAAGACAAAGGACGUAUCGAGGGAAGAAAGGUUUAAUCGUUUCAUGUAAAAGAGAGUUUAUAAAAAAAAAAAAAGAGCGAAUAUAUUAUAGAUGUAUACAUAUGACGCGUUAUUUAGGCCGGCGAAUUGAAGACAGAUCUGUAGUCGACAGCUUAGUAUGUUGUAGAAAUUUGAAAAACUCGAUUCUUCGAGAGGAUUGAAGGAGACAAAAGAAGAAAAAAAAAAAAAAAAAAAAAAAAAAAAUAAGGAAUGCACGCAUUAAUCAUUGCUAAAACGCGAAUGCUAUAAGAGUAAUCGUAGCUUCUAAGGACCACCAAAACACACACAUUAUCCAUUAAUCCCUUCGUUUCCACGUCGCUCUUGGAACUGCAUUAUAGAAACAUUCAAGAACGGAUUAGAUCCACAACGUUCGAAUCCCACAACGUGUUUCCCCCCAUUAAUUGUAUUUGAUUGAACAUAUCGUGGAAAAGUGUGAUACGAUUGCAUUGUACAAGCCGUUCAACAGAGAUCUAAUCGUAACCUUUGAUCUUUCAUUGAAGAUGUUCAUGAGACGCAUAUCAUUAGUAAGAGUUAAUUUACAAAUUGUAUUAUAUUCGUUAUGAUCGAUGGAAGAAAGGAAAAAAAAAAAAAAAAUUAGAGGAAAACAAAAGAUAAAUUAUCGAUUGUUCGAGAAUGAUAUCGUGUCUGUAUUUUAAUUGAAAUGCUAACUGGUGAUUGAAUGUCUAUAAAGGGGUACAAAACAUGAUUGUUGGUUACGAAGGGCUUAAAAAAAAAUUCAUUUUGCACACGAUCGAUCACAAAUAAUCGGUAUCAAAACGCUACUACAAUCUCGCAGAAGGAUAACGAUAUGUUUUUCCUCGAGGUGCUACGUGGAUAAUUUUCGUCUCCGAAGCAAAUUUCCAAAAACAAAUUCCUCGCGCCGUAUCAUCAGAUAGAUUGUAGUGAAAAAAAAAAAAAAA